AUUGAACGCUGGCGGCAGGCCUAACACAUGCAAGUCGAGCGGAGAGGCGGACGGGAGCGGAAUGCCUAGGAAUAAGCCUGGUGGUGGGGGAUAACGUCCGGAAACGGGAGCCAAUACCGCAUAGUAGCAGAUGAGCCUAGGUCGGAUUAGCUAGUAGGUGGUGUAAAGGCCUACCAAGGCGAGGAACCGUAACUGGUCUGAGAGGAUGAUCAGGCACACGGGAACUGAGACACGGUCCAGAGUCCUGCGGGAGGCAGCAGGGGGAAAUAUUGGACAAGGGGCGAAAGCCUGAUCCAGCCAUGCCGCGUGUGUGAGGAGGGUCUUCGGAUUGUAAGUCACUUUAAGUUGGGAGGCGUUACCAACAGAGUAAGCACCGGCUAACUUCGUGCCAGCAGCCGCGGUAAUAC
rnacentral:rRNA from 1 species